UACGUAGGGGGCGAGCGUUGUCCGGAUUUACUGGGCGUAAAGGGUGAGUAGGCGGUUAUAUAUGUCAGGUGUAAAAGGCUAUGGCUUAACCAUGGUUAGCACUUGAAACUGUAUGACUUGAGUGCAGGAGAGGUAAGCGGAAUUCCUAGUGUAGCGGUGAAAUGCGUAGAUAUUAGGAGGAACACCAGUGGCGAAGGCGGCUUACUGGACUGUAACUGACGCUGAGUCACGAAAGCGUGGGUAGCAAACAGG
rnacentral:rRNA from 1 species